rnacentral:rRNA from 1 species
UACCGCGAGGAGGAGCGAAUCACAAAACUACGGUCCCAGUUCAGAUUGCAGGCUGCAACUCGUCUGCAUGAAGUUGGAAUUGCUAGUAAUGGCAGGUCAGCAUACUGCCGUGAAUACGUUCCCGGGCCUUGUACACACCGCCCGUCACACCAUGAGAGUUGGGAAUACCCGAAGCCUGUGAGCUAACUUUUAGAGGCAGCAGUCGAAGGUAGAAUCAAUGAUUGGGGUGAAGUCGUAACAAGGUAGC